AACAAUACCUUAGAGGGGUUGGACUCUCUUCCAGUCUGGAGUUGACCAUGGUGAGGCGCAGAGCAGGUGUGGGCAUGCUUACAGGUCCUGCCUGUUUGUGCCUAUGCACUGAAGAGGACUCGCCCUUUUGGAGUCCUUGGAGGGUAUGCUAAAGAGUCUACCCCCUGGGGACUCCCUUGUUCUGAUGGGAUUUCAAUUUUCAGGUGGGGUGGGGGGCAGAUGGGAGACGUGGCUAUAAGGGGGUCCAGUUUGAUGGCCUCAGUAUACAUCUCUGCUUUUUGCAGAUGAUUUGACACUGUUGGCUUCUUCAAGCCGUGAUCUUUGACUCUCACUGGAGCGGUUGACAGCCGAGUGUGAAGCAGUUAGGAUGAAAAUCAGCACCUCCAAUCUGAUACCAUGGUCCUUAGCCGGAAAAGGGUGGUGUACUCUCGCCAGGUUGGGGAUGAGAUCCUGCCUUAAGUGGAGUAGUUCAGGUCUCUCAGGGUCUUGUUCGUGAGUGAGGGCAGAAUGGAGCGGUAGAUCGACAGGGGGAUUGGUGCAGUGUCUCCUGCAGACUCUGUAUCGAUCUGUAGUGUUAAAGAAAGAGCUGAGCUGAAAGGUGAAGCUCUUGAUUUAUUGGUUUAUGUAUAUCCCAACCCUUAGCUAUGGUCAUGAGCUGUGGUCAUGACUGAAAGAACAAGAUCCUGGAUACAAGCAGUCGAAAAGAAUUUCUUCUGCAGGGUUCCCAGGCUCUCCCUCAGAGAUAGGGUGAGAAACUCCGCCAUAUGCGAGGGACUCGAGUCAAGCCUCUGCUCCUCCACAUUGAGAGGAGCUAGAUGAGGUGGCAUCUACUUAGGAUGCCUUCCCAGUGAGUUUUUCCGGGCAUGUCCCACUGGAAAGGGAUCCCAGGGACGACCCAGGAUACGGUGAAGAGAUUGGAGAGUCUCCAGGCUGCCCUGAGAACGCCUUCGGAUCCUUCAGGACGGGUAGAAAGAAGUGGCUGGAGAGGGGAAGUCUGGACUUCCCUGUUAAAUCUGCUGCCCCCGCGACCUGACUAUGGAUAAAUGAUAUAAAAUGGAUGGAUGGAUGAUCUUAUUUCUUCUUACAUCAAAAUUGUUAACUCCUUCAAAACAGUAACAUGAAGAAGCCUGAAAAUUUGGCAAAACAUGUAUUGCCCCUGCAUGAUUCUCACCAGUUCAUCUUAUGGUGGGACACUAUGAUUAAGCCCCAAAGGUUUUUCCGAGUCAAAUUCACUUGUAACUUCUCACACAGUUUCAGGUCAAUGAAGAAUGAAAUACAAAAUUUGAAUGGUUGGUUCUGCAGAUGAAUUUAGAAUAAAUGUGCACGUAUUGAUAAAACAAUUCCUUUUGACCCUUUUUUUAUUGACACACAAUUGAAUCCAAAGGUUAAGGGGAGUGACCCCAACGAGGUCAGAGCAAGAUUUGUGAAAAAAACAUGUUUUUGUAAAACAUCUUAGAAAAUUACACAAAUUGGCCAUAACUCAUCGACCCUUGAAACCAUUCUCAACAUCUUGAGAACAGGUUGAGCAUUUCUUUCAAAGCAUUUUGAUCCUAACCCACACCAAGGAUGAUUAGUUUAUGAGCUACCCUAACUACUUCUGUUGCAUGACAUUUUUCACAAAAAAAUAACUUAGUUACGAUUCCAACACAACCUGUUUUAUGAUUACAUUGUGUAAGAAGAUUGACAAGUCAAAUAAUAUCAAUACUGUUUUUGUUCAAACAGUACGCAAAGGCAGUUGAAUUUGGUAGCUGUGCUGUUUUUUUGUUUUUUGCUUUUUUCUUAAUUCAGUGUGUUAUUCCUGGAUGCGGGCGGCCCGGUGU